UACGAAGGGGGCUAGCGUUGCUCGGAAUUACUGGGCGUAAAGCGCACGUAGGCGGGUCGUUAAGUCAGGGGUGAAAUCCCGGAGCUCAACUCCGGAACUGCCUUUGAUACUGGCGGCCUCGAGGCCGGAAGAGGUUAGUGGAAUUCCCAGUGUAGAGGUGAAAUUCGUAGAUAUUGGGAAGAACACCAGUGGCGAAGGCGGCUAACUGGUCCGGAUCUGACGCUGAGGUGCGAAAGCGUGGGGAGCAAACAGG
rnacentral:rRNA from 1 species